rnacentral:misc_RNA from 1 species
CCUUUCAAUGCAGAAGAGUUGAGGUGGGUUGAGUAUCUCGCCCCCUCCAUUCUCGCUGUAUUUUACCCUUGUUUUUCUCAUACUAUUAUUUCCCUCGGCAGGCCAGCCUGCCGGGUGAAUAAACAACUUCAAACCUGUUUAAUUUUCAAUCAGCGUCUGAACAAAUUAAUAAUUA